rnacentral:lncRNA from 1 species
CAGUCCCACAGACCUUUGUGGGGUCUGCAGUCCCUGCUACCACUACAGGCCCAUAGACCUUUGUGGGGCCUUCAGUCCCUGCUACCACUACAGGCCCUCAGACGUCUGUGGGGCCAGCAAUCCCCAGUGGCUCACCACUGAUGGCUACCACUACAUGCCCACAGACCUUUGAGGGGCCUGCAAUCCCCAUGGAUGGGGUUAAUGCAUCCACACCAGGUUGCAUUUGCUCACAGGCAUCUGGAGCAUCAACGCUGGGCAGGACUGAAGGGGACAUCCAGCACCACUUCUGCUCUUCCUCUUGGUCAAAUAGCCUCUAAUCCAUCUCAUGGCAGCAUGGCUGCUUCUAUAGGAAGGGCAGGUAGUGUCCCAGUAUUUAGACUUGCAUCUAGUGCUACUUUAAAUCCAGGCACCUGGGGCCCAGCUGCCCAGCGUGUAAGUGGUGUGAAGGAAGGGAACAACAUCACUCCCAAGACUGGAAGACCUGGAGUUCCCGCUUUAUGUCAGCAUAAGGGGGGCCCACCUGAUGCAAACACAGAUGAAAACCUCAUCGUGUUUAUGAUGGCAGCCCUCUGUAUCAGCAACCGCCCUCAGAACCCUGGGGACCUGCCUGUCUCUAAGGCCACUGGUGCUAUGGGGAACGGCAACAUACCUGCUUGACUGGACAAAAUAGUGGUCCCCCAUUCCUACAGAGCACACAGAACCCCCCCAAGCCACAGCACUGAUGGUGCCAUGGGGGAUACCACCAUGCACCUUAGAACUCUCUACUCUUGGAACACGGGGACCUGGCCCUAGGCAGGGAACCCUUCUGACUUUGGUGAGCCAGCACCGUGUGUGCAAGUUCUUGGUCCACUGUUCUGUGCUCAGGGCAUGGCUAGGGUCCCUUCAUAACCUGUCUAGAAACUGCCACCCACUGGUUCCUUUCUUUUGUCAUGAAUCUCAACAUCUACGGAACAGAUAUUCCUCCACAUGUUAUAUGUAAUAGUAAAUGGAUUUUGCUGUAUCAGAGCCUCAACGGGCUCUUAUCUUUCCCAGAUUAUGUAGAUAUACUUCUAUAUCUAUAAAACUUUGUUCUUACUAAUCUGCCUUUGCUCGUGUGUCUUUUUGUCUCGGCAAUAGAGAAAGAAUUAACCGAUGUGAGUGUGGUGGGUUGAACCAGACUUUAUGCCAAAUUUUCUGUGUCUCAGUGACUGGAAUGUGGAAGUAGCCACAGGUUCUGGCUGCACGCACAGACCCCUGAAAUCUGCAUUUUGAGUGUAAGGGAUGGGAAUCCAGGAGGAAGGAAGGUCCAAAGGAGGGAGAGAUGAGGUGACUCAUCCUUGCCUCUACCCUCUGUGCUUCGCUCUCCUCUCCCCCGACUCUGACCUCAAUACAGGUUGAAUAACCCGUGAUGAGUGCAAGGAAACCACCCUAUGAUUUUAGUUUUUAAGAAUGUUUAAAUGUUUUCUUCGGUGCCUUCUUAGUUUAGACUUAGGCCAAUCAUUCUUACACAUUCCCACGUCACCCAGAGAAGACAGAUUUGAGCCCAGAGAAACAAAUGGAAAAAGAGCACAUACAUGCCUGCUCUGUAAGUGUUAGAAAUGUCAGUUUAUUUAGAAUUUAUUGUGCUGCUUAAGCACAAUAGAAC